GACGAACGCUGGCGGCGUGCUUAACACAUGCAAGUCGAACGGUGAACCUCUUCGGAGGGGCUCAGUGGCGAACGGGUGAGUAACACGUGGGCAACCUGCCCCCGGCUCUGGGAUAACUCCAAGACUUUGGGGCUAAUACCGGAUGUUCACCGCUUCCCGCAUGGGUGGUGGUGGAAAGGGUUUCCGGCUUGGGAUGGGCGCUAGGCUUAUCAGCUUGUUGGUGGGGUAGUGGCCUACCAAGGCGGAGGCGGGUAGCCGGCCUUGGAGGGGGGACAGCCACAAGGGGACUAGGGGAGGGAGCAGAAGGGAAUGGGGGGCAAUGGGGGGGAAUAUGGCGGAGCGGGGCGGAGCGAGAGACGAAGGCGUCGGGAUGGGGAUGACGGGCUUCGGGUUGUGAACAUCUUUCAGCAGGGACGAAGCGGAAGUGACGGUACCUGCAGAAGAAGCACCGGCUAACUACGUG
rnacentral:rRNA from 1 species